rnacentral:rRNA from 1 species
UCGGCUUAGAGUUUGAUCCUGGCUCAGAUUGAACGCUGGCGGCAUGCUUUACACAUGCAAGUCGAACGGCAGCACGGGUGCUUGCACCUGGUGGCGAGUGGCGAACGGGUGAGUAAUGCACCGGAACGUACCCAGUAAUGGGGGAUAACACAUCGAAAGAUGUGCUAAUACCGCAUACGCCCUGAGGGGGAAAGCGGGGGAUCGCAAGACCUCGCGUUAUUGGAGCGGCCGAUGCCGGAUUAGCUAGUUGGUGGGGUAAAGGCCCACCAAGGCGACGAUCCGUAGCUGGCCUGAGAGGACGACCAGCCACACUGGGACUGAGACACGGCCCAGACUCCUACGGGAGGCAGCAGUGGGGAAUUUUGGACAAUGGGCGCAAGCCUGAUCCAGCCAUGCCGCGUGAGUGAAGAAGGCCUUCGGGUUGUAAAGCUCUUUCGCAAGGAAAGAAAACUUAGCCACUAAUACUGGCUGAGGAUG